ensembl:misc_RNA Metazoa_SRP Metazoan signal recognition particle RNA
GCUAGGCACGGUGGCAUAUACCUGUAGUCCCACUUACUCGGGAGGCUGAGGUGGGAGGAUCGCUUGAGCCCAGGAGUUCUGGGCUAUAGAGUGCUAUGCCGAUCGGGUGUCUGCACUAAGUUCGGCAUCAAUAUGGUGAUCUCCCGGGAGCAGGGGAGCACCAGGUUGCCUAAAGAGGGGGUGAACCGGCCCAGGUCAGAAAUGGAGCAGAUCAAAACUCCCAUGCUGAUCAGUAAUGGGAUUAUGCCUGUGAAUAGCCACUGAACACCAGCCUGGGCAACAUAGCGAGACCCUGUCUCUA